AGACCCCCAAAAGAGGCUGCAGAUUCUUAGUGGACAGCUCUCAUAUCCCCUCCAGGGAAAAUGAUGAAAAAUGUCUUCAGAAAAAUAGCUUUAUGAAGGCAAGAGGACUUUUUGCACCUGCAAGACAUGUCUGAAAGCUCCUCAGGUCAAAACACAAGUAGUCAAGAGAUUUGUCCAUCUAAUUCAUCAUACUACUCUGAUCCAAGUGAGACCCACACUGGGUCAGCUCCAUCAAGGAGAAGAACAUUCCACCCACGUUUGGAUUCUGGAAUAUCAUCCUUGCUUCCAUCAGAUUCUUGUAAGUACCUCACUUGGCACAAGGUAGACAUGACGUUCAAGGAAGUCAACUGCGUUGCCCAAGAGUAAGAGAAGGAAUCUCUGAAGAAGAGCAACUUUUCAGACAGGUAGAGUGUGCCUUGCUCCCAAGGAAAAGAGUUCUUGAAAAAAACAAAUGGGAAACAUGGCUACAAGAAAACUGGGAAGACUGCAAGAAUUUGAACAUUUCAUUUCAGGGUUUGGGGGAUCCUUACCAAGUUGAAAAUUUUAACAGAAUUCUUAGAAGACUAAUUCGAGUUGAAACCCUCUGGUUAGUGGAUAAUUCACUGGUGGACUUAAGUGCCAUAAGAUUGCCAAGGCAAAAACAUGCUAACUGACAAGAAAAUCAUGGGUUUUAUACAAGGAUAACAAGUGCUGGGUUGCUUAGCUAUGAGGAAGGCUAGGCUCACUGCAUACCAGAAGAUGUACAGCGUUGGAGAAUUCAGGGAUUUUUAUCAACAAUCAAACUAUAUUUGUGGAAAUUUUGUGCAUAAGUGCCAAAGAUGGCUGACAUCGGACCACAUUCUAUUUAACUCAACUGAAUGACACCAAGCUCUCAUCCUAAAACUUAUAGUUACAUCCACCCUUCUGAAAUAUUUAAUUAUUCUCCAAUACACUGGAGGUAAUAGGUAUAAAAAGAAUGAGCAUGUGCAACUUAGUAUCUCAUAUCUAAUUUUGUGUCCCAAGUUCAUUCUUCCCCUGAAUGUCCCAUGUCUACCAGGUGCAGGAUUAUCUGGAUGGGUCAGUUCAAAACAAUUUCAGGGAAUAAAUUGUGUAGGGGACUCAAUUUUCUGAGACAGAAACAUAAUGUGAAUAACUCCUUUGUUAGAAAAUAAUUUCAGUGACAGAAAGCCUUUCAGUUCAUAAAGAAAACUUACAUAUCAACAAGCCUAGCUCCUCACUAGUCCCAGUGAAUGCUUACAUCAAUCAGCUCUACAAUAUCCAGUAAAGGACUUUCCAAUUCGCCUUUGAAUAAACUGAGGUAUUGGAAACAUCUAAGAAAAUGGUUUUUAAUUCUUCCUAAUCUUCAGGGAGUUCUUCCUUAUAUUGAGCUGAUAUCUGCCCUCUGUAACUUUCAACUAAUUAUUCAAAUCUCUCAAGUGAUUAUAAUUAAUUCCAUCUUAUAAGGAAUUUUUCUCAGCUUCCAGCCUCUUGAAAAUACUCUGAUAUUUUCUCUAAUAUUCAAGUGGAAAUGUAAAUGGGUAACGUAAGAGUCUGUGGGGUUAGGAGGGUGGAGGAAAGGUAAGGGAAAGCUAAUGAGAAAUAACCAAAGCAAGAAAAAGAAUUUUAUUUUCUUCAAGUUCUUUGUACAUCCAAAGUGGAAGAUUCCUAAAAUAAAUUCCCCAUACCACAUUUUAAAAAUUAGGUUAGCAAGCUUACUUUUUAAUUUAUUUAGAAGCCAACUACUUCCAUUUAUUAUUUCUUUCCAGAAUAGAACAAUUAUCACUAAUUGUUUGUCAUUAUAAUGCCAAACUAUGUUAAUAGAUGCCUAUUUUUUUAAAGGCUAAUUGCAAUCAUGAAACCAAAUAUCUAAUUAGUUUUAGAGCUUUGGACCACAUGCAUCAAUAUUUGAAUCAUUCAGGUGUAUAUUUGCUUUCUGCUUUUUUGUCUCUUCAAAAGAAGUAUUAUAUGCAUUCUGUUUAUAAUUUCUAAAUGGUCAUUUCAAAACUGAUUAUACGAGUUUAUACAAAUCAUACUGAAAUUUGUUGCUUAAAAAAUCUUCAUUUUUCUCUAAGCUCUCAGUGUCCUUGAGCUAUAUAUAUUUUAUGGCAAUUUUUACUUAAUAGUUUGUAUGCUAGUUAUUUUUGACAAUGACUACUAAAAUGCAAGUUUCUUCAAGGGCAGAUUCACCUUAGUUCUUCUUUAUACCCCUCAAAAACCUCAGGGUUAUUCUCAAUAAGUAUUGAGUAGGUGAGUGAACUUUGGAUGUAUACUCCUUGAAAUUAUAUUUCUGGAGCUGGAAAACUUUAAAAAAAUGUAUGUCAUGAGUCUAAAGAAAUAAACAUUAUAUGGCUGAAAAAAUACUUUGUGAAAA
ensembl:lncRNA LRRC77P leucine rich repeat containing 77, pseudogene